rnacentral:rRNA from 1 species
GAUGAACGCUGGCGGCGUGCCUAAUACAUGCAAGUCGAGCGAACAGACGAGGAGCUUGCUCCUCUGGCGUUAGCGGCGGACGGGUGAGUAACACGUGGAUAACCUACCUAUCAGACUGGGAUAACUUCGGGAAACCGGAGCUAAUACCGGAUAAUAUAUUGAACCGCAUGGUUCAAUAGUGAAAGACGGUUUUGCUGUCACUUAUAGAUGGAUCCGCGCCGCAUUAGCUAGUUGGUAAGGUAACGGCUUACCAAGGCAACGAUGCGUAGCCGACCUGAGAGGGUGAUCGGCCACACUGGAACUGAGACACGGUCCAGACUCCUACGGGAGGCAGCAGUAGGGAAUCUUCCGCAAUGGGCGAAAGCCUGACGGAGCAACGCCGCGUGAGUGAUGAAGGUCUUCGGAUCGUAAAACUCUGUUAUUAGGGAAGAACAAAUGUGUAAGUAACUAUGCACGUCUUGACGGUACCUAAUCAGAAAGCCACGGCUAACUACGUG